ACAAGGAACUAUGGAAAGAACGAGAGCAUGAGGUGCACAAGUUUAUUGCAAGAUGGGCCUAUAAUCAUGGAAUACCUUUCAAUGCAUGUGACAAUGAUGAGUUCAAGCAAAUGUGUGAAGCAAUUGGACAAUUUGGACCAGGACUUACACCUCCAACUCAAGAUGCCUUUCGAGGUAGUUUGCUGGAAGAAGAAUAUGAAAGAACCAAGUGUUUGCUGCAGGAACGUGAAGCCGAGAAGAUGAAAAAUGGGUGCUCUAUUAUGACCGAUGCUUGGUCAGAUAGGAAGAGGAGAAGCAUAAUGAAUAUAUGCACUAAUUGUGCUGAUGGAACCUCCUUCAUCAGCUCAAAAGAGAUGUCAGAUGUGUCACACACAAGCGAAGUCAUUUUUGAAUUAGUGGACAAAGCAAUUGAAGACAUUGGUGAAGAGAAAUAGGCUGACUACAACCCGCCUCAACAAGUUGGUCUAUAUUCAGUUCAAUAACAGGCUGAUGAAUAACGAAGAAAAGAUUAAGUCAAAGAAAAUCACUGAUGUUCUCUUGUCUAGUGAUACAACUGAAGCUCAAGGUUUUCUCCAAGAGGGUGGAGAUGAGUGUGCACAAGUUGUCUUUAGAGAUGAGGAGGAAGAUGAGAUGGAAGGUACAGGGAUACCUUGGUCUGUUAUUGGAGAGGCAGUGGGAGAAGAAGAACAGCUUGAGCCUCGUAGAAGUGCAAGAGUGAGAGAGCUCUAUGAAGGAGAAGAGUUUGAGUCUGAAGAAGAAGAGUAUGAAGAUGAAGAUUUGUGCUACAGUGAAGAUGAAAUAUGAUCUGGACCAUCUCCAUCUAGUAGUGAAGCCUUUUGUGAUGCCCUGGUCUUAUGAACUGCAGUUGUGUCACUUUGUGUCUGUGUGUCUUCUUUUGUGUGAGACCUGAACUAAGAACUAUGUGCUUGUGUUGUCCUUUAUUUAUAAAUUGUGUUCUGCACUUGUAUUA